rnacentral:lncRNA from 1 species
AGGGCUAAGUCUGUGCUGUGAUUAAUUCUCCAAAGCUUCCUGAUGGAUCAGGCGGAAGCCAGACUCCACGCGGAGAUAACAUCUUUGCUUAGCCCUUUCCCCUGCCCUACCCUGCUUCCCCCGCACUCCUUUCUCCUGAGAGUUUUCCCUCAAUAAUCAUAUCCCUUGAAUACCUGUCUUAGGCUCUACUGCUGGGGAGCCCCCCUAAGACACCCCUCAAUAGAGCAAUGGAGUCCCUUAGUAAAAUCUGUACUCCUUUACUUGGCAUUCAAGGCCCUCUAUGAUCAGAGCACCCACUUUCCUGCCUUGUCCGCCCCGUCCCCCUUCCCUUGUGCUGUGUUGGUGCAGAGCAUAGCAGAUGACUGAACUGCAUGCUGAAUCGGCAUAUGUUGCCUCAUUUCCCACCUCUGAGCCUUUUCUAUGCUCUUCCUCCCGCUGGGCCUCUCUUUGCUGCCUCCAUCCUCCAUGCACAUUGAAGCACUACCCACACUUCAAGUGAAACCUUCCUGCCCUCGAGCCAGAAGCCCCGUCUCCCUCCUUUGAUCUCCCAGAGCACCUCCUGUGUCUCUCUGAUAACACGAAUCACCUUCUGCUUGGUAACUGUAGGGUAACACCAAGUUCAACGGCACUAUUUCUGUCUCAGUUGAGGCCCCAAAGCCAGCAGGUGCCAACCAGUCCACAUCCAAAGUGAGGCGCAAGACCACCCUAGCAGGACUUACAAAGGAGGUGGCCCAGAGCUGGAACUCCCUGCCGACCCUUCACCCCCAGGCCAUCAGUGAAGCUAUUGAGGAAAGGCCGUGUGAGGACACAGUGAGAAGGCGCUGUCUGCAAGCCGGAGGAGAGGCCGACCAGGAACCAACCCUGCUGCCACUUUGAUCUUUGACUUCCAGCCUCCAGAACUAGCCAGUUACUAGCACACCGCUGCUUGACAGCUUCCACUUAUGAACUCUUGUGAGCCCUGAACCACCACAUAAGAAGUUCAGCUACCUUUCAGGAAAGACCACCUGUGGAAAAGCCCCAUGGAGAGGGAGAGACCCUGAGAUUACAUGGAGGAGAACCAAGGCACCCAGAUAAAUGACCCAGUGGAGCUAUUCCAGCAAGUCUCCAGCCUUGCGAGCCCUCCUAGCUGAGGCAUCUGACCUAUGAAUGAAGAGGCCACGGACACCCGACCCCGGGAGACAUCAUCACACGGAUCAGAGAUGAGCCAUCCCUGCUGCAACCUGUCUGAAUUCCCGACUCAUAGCUGGUCAAAUAAGAGAUUUGUGGUUUUAAACCAU